CUAAAAACAGUUAAAAAUAUUGUUAGGGUUAUUUUUUGAGUGAGCUUAUGAUAAGGGCUAUUUAUAAGAAAUUCCUGUAGUUUUUUUGUUAAUCUACAAUGAUGGUAUUGACAUGACUAAAAUAGGAAUGUUAUCUAUUUUAUGUUGCAGAUGGCCAGCACAGGAACAAAGCAGGAAAAUGUGGAGUCCUUGCUUUGUGUGUCGAGGCACCCAGUGGGGUUUCAAUGCAAGUAUUAACAUCCACUGUAAGUGGUUGCAUCUGCACGUGAUACAUGAGAUGCUAUGUUAAGUGAACGAGUUGGAAAGCUUUAAGAGAACAUGCUUCGGGCACAUGAUGAUGUCGAAGUAGACAAGAGUUUAUUCUGGGCCAGUCUCGAGCACAAUCUAAUGAUGCGCAGAAUCAACGAACCUGAUGCCACGGAGGCAGAGUUAUGGUUCGAAAUAGGGAAAACGAAGGCCCACUUUUCAAAGAGGGAGUUCUAUUUGGUGACAGGACUGAAGUUUGGUCCCUUAUCAGCCUUCAUUGUCAAUCCCUAUGAGGCUCUUCCUGGAGGUAUUCACCUACGAUAUUAGGGACCUGGGAAGAAGGUGAAGAUCCAACAGGUUUUAGACACGUUCAAGGGAGGGCAGUUUCAGUAGGAGGGAGACGCGAGAAAGAUGGCCCUCGUCUUGAUUGUGACUAAUGUUUUUUUCAGUCAAGACUACAAAAGAUCUGUGGUUCCAUGGUUGUUGUCGCUGGUCGAGAACAUCUACGAAUGGAAUGCAUUCCCAUGGGGCACAUAUGUGUGGAGUCUAACAGUGGAUUACUUGUUAAAGGGUUUCGAACCUCCUGCUGCAAGCGAAGCAGAUAAGAAGCGCUACCACCUCUACGGAUUCAUAUGGGCGUUUCAGGUAGUUUGCAUAGCCUAAUGUUUAUCAUUAUCAUUAUUCUUUUCGCAUAAGAAUUUAUGAGGUGAGUAAAAAUGUUACACAAUUUGUCAUGAUCCGGUACUCUCCUCGAGCCCGUGACAAUCGUCGCGUUGUUUCGAUAGACAUUCAUUACCCAAAAUGCCAACCGAAACCCUGCAAGGCUUUAAUAUCAGUUUUCGCACCUCCCCUGUGAGCAACAGUUAUUAAGUAUCAUGUUUUAAUAGAUUAUAAACUAUUUCCAAAUCACAAUAAUAGAAAAAUAAUUUUUUACUCACAGGGGUAUUUUGAUCAUUUUUCUCAAAAAUUUCGAAACCAUCUAAAAAUGUAGUAUGCGAGUAGAAAACACAUAUUUCAUAAUAAAAAAUAAGUUUAGAUAUCUAAAACAUUCAUUUAAAGUGAAAUUAUAAAUAUUUGAAUAUAAUAUAAAUAUUCAAUAAAAUAUUCUAUUUUCUUAUAAAACAAUAUUUAUAGAGUUACCGGUAAAUAAUUUUUGUAGCGUAAAAGCUAAAUAAAUUCAUACAUACUGUAAUACAGAUAACCAAAGUAUAAAAUUUAAUUUACAGUGACAUGUGGGCCCAGAACGACCAAAAGUAUCAAAAGCGGUAAACCUACAGUUUUUUAGGAUGUAAGUCCAACUGUAGCCCUCAACAAAGUGAGCUAUCUACCUGAGCCUAAAAUAGAUGAAAAGGAGGGUGGUGAGAUUAUAUAAUCUCAGUAAGUAAACAAAUACCAUCUAAAAUAUCUAAAGUUGAGUAAAUGGAGAUAGGUAAAAUAGUUUAACAUACUAUAAUUCAUCACCUUUCAACUCAUUUCAACCAAAUAAAAUCAAUUCAUAUAAAUUGAGUAAUCAACAUGGCUUAUGAAUUUCUUAAAACUUUGGCUCGUGCCAAAAUCAUUCUCAUACUCAGUUAUCAAAGAUACCUUGGCCGAGGGCUAUCCCAAUCGAGUCCGCCAUGGUUAUUAAAAAGUCAUGUACGCAUAAAUCAUAUUUUUAUUUUGAAAACAUAGCCGUUCCUUGGCGUUGGUUGAGUUCACCCUCAUGUGGUGGUUUGGCGUGAAGUGAAUUCUAAACUUGUACCUCAGGAGUUGCCCUACACGCCUCUCCAACUGAGGUAAGAAUAUAAUAGGGUUACCGUGCCCCUCUAAUAGGUUAGUCCACGGAACUUGUCCAUUGCAGCGACCAAUUAUAAUCUACCAAUUCAAUAAAAUUUAACAGCAUGACAUGGCAAUUUUAUCAUUAUCUAGCCUAUCAAGGCAAACAACAGUUUAUACAUUUUCAACACAAAUACCAAUUCAACCAUUCAUGCCAAUAUUGCCAUAAGCCAAUCAAUUAGAACCAUAAAUUCACAAUACAUCAAAUGGUCUCCAAUUACUCUAUUUUCAAAGCCAUCAUUCAAUUUCAAGAUAAUUUAUAAAAUCAUUUCAUUUAAACACAUUUUGUUUAUAGAACAUAAAGAUUUACCAUUUAAACUCAUUUUUCAUAAAAUUACAAAAUCGGAUAAAAAUCACUUUAGAUAAUUAAGACGAUAGUAAGGUUACUCACUAUUUCGAGAGUCGAAUUUCGAGUACUCCGAUUCUUGAUCCUCGGGUACUAUUUCUUUACUUUUGCAGAAUGCUCACCAUCUAGACAUAAUGCACAAUAAGCCAUUUACUACAUUUGUGCUAAAUUGUUAUAAAACCAAUUCAGGCUUUAUACUAAUAUAUGAAAUGAGAUGUAAAUUGUUCGGAUUAUCGUCUAAAGAUGGUGUUCUACACAAAUUCAAUUGUGUACCUAAAUAAAUCGGUAUUGGCCUAAUUCGAUCUAUCACUAGAUUAAUUGGCCAAUACGUCCAAUUCAACUUUAAAUAAUUCCAUUUUUCUCCCAAUACUCCAAAUCAUCAAACACAAAUUAAAUAACUUGGAAUAUAGCAAAAUCAUCCUCACAUUUUCUCUUGGAAAAUUCGGCCAUGGUGGGUGCAUCAACACUAUAAUUUUUUCUACUUGAUUCUCACACCAUAAAUCACUAAUUCCUAACCAAAUCACUUGAAAUAAAAUCAAAAUCAUCCUCAAUAUUCCACAUGGAGAAUUCGGCCAAUGAUGGGUGAUGGAAGAACAUGAAUUUUUCUUACUUGAUUUUCAUGCUACACAUCACCAAUCAACUAAAAACACUAAAAUACAUUGAAAUCUAACCAAAUCAAGAAUCAAAACCUCUCUCUAAGUGUUCAGCCAGCAAGAUACCCAUCAUGAAAUCAUGUGAUUCAACCAUGAAAAAUGCAAAAGAAUGCAUGGGAAAGGUAGAUCACAAGUCAAAAUCAAGAAAUUUUACCUUUGAUUGCCUGAUUACUUGAAAUCCACCAAAUUUUCUUUUAAAUUUUCACCCUAGGGUUCUUGUUCUUUCUUUUCUUCCUUUGUUCUUG
rnacentral:lncRNA from 1 species